GCAUCGAUGGGGUAACGGAAACCCACAGGCUAGUAUUCGUCCCCCAGAUCCACGUUGUUAUAGCUGAGCUCGGGGUUCGACUCCCUAUCGAUGCA